rnacentral:rRNA from 1 species
CCCGCUGAACUUAAGCAUAUUAUUAAGCGGAGGAAAAGAAACUAACAAGGAUUCCCCUAGUAACGGCGAGUGAAGCGGGAAUAGCUCAAUUUUAAAAUCUCCGUGUCUUACACGGCGAAUUGUAAUCUAGAGAAGCAUUUUCUAGAUCAACUCUUGGUAUAAAUCCUUUGGAAAAGGGUAUCAUAGAGGGUGACAAUCCCGUCUUUGACUAAGAGCUUGAUCUUUUACGAUAUGCUUUCAACGAGUCGGGUUGUUUGGGAAUGCAGCCCAAAAUGGGUGGUAAAUUUCAUCUAAAGCUAAAUAUGGGCAUGAGACCGAUAGCGAAACAGUACCGUGAGGGAAAGAUGAAAAGAACUUUGAAAAGAGAGUUAAAAGUACGUGAAACCGCUAAAAAGGGAACGAUUUGGAACUAGCAAUUGAGCUUAAUNNAAUCAGAUAAGUGAAAUUACUAGUUAAUUUAGUAUGGAGUUUCUUUAGUGAGACCAAUAGUUUAUUAACAAAAAUAGUUCAAUUAUUGCACUUUAUUAAAGUUUCAGGUCAACAUCAGUNUGAGAUAUGGGAAAAGAUGAUUAGAGGAGGUAGCUAAUUUGACUUGUCAUUUUAGUGUUAUAUCUUUAGUCAUUUACCAUAUAUCGGACUGAGGUCGCUAAAAAGUGUGCCUUUUGGCUAAGUCCUUUUAUAAUCCUUAUUACAAGAUUUUUGACUGUUUCCAGUGUUUAAUCUUGGCAAGAAGGAUUAUGAAAAAGAUCUAUAUACACUUUAAAGAUGUUGACGAAAUGGUUCUAACCGACCCGUCUUGAAACACGG